UGAGUCUGACGUUCCCACAGCACAUGGCUGACAGCGCUUUCCCUCUGUAAACUGGGAGCAUGAAAAGCAGUGUAAUGCAAUUGUGAAAAAUACCCUUUUCACCCAGUGACCUUCAAAGAAACAGACUGCCUUGGGAGUUGAGACUGCCUCUGAACAAUCAACAGUACAGAAGCACUUGAGAAUUUAAAGAACCUAUUUUAAAUUCAUGCUGAAAAUUUAAAGAACUCUUUAAGCAAUCUGCAAAUGGGUCAAAUUACGACGGUUAGAAAACAACUCAUCAAUUGGGUGAUGCCCAUAAAGUUGAUACCUUAUGAUAACCUCGUGAUUCAUGUGGAGUUUCCUCGCUGCAACACUGUUGUGUCCCUGCAAAUUUGAAUUGUUUCCAUUGCAGGUUACGAUAGAGAAAGGCAGCCAAAGAGUUAACAGCAUCCCAUCAGCAGAAACCCACUGCUACGAAAGGUAACGUAGAGCAAAUGUUGAGAAUGAGCUCUUUGUCUUUUUCACUUACAUCUGAGCAAAUGCAGCACCAAUGAGAGAAAGCAGACCUGCGUGCAUCCAUGCGGUCCUCAUCCCUGAGCAAGGUGAUGGAGUGAGUUUCCCACACUGCGCUGUCAGCGUGUUACGGCCUUUCUCCCAAGGUGACACCUUUUGGAUAACAGCACUCAGUCUCUGCUGUCUUCCAGUCAUGUUUGCCUGCCUUCUUGUGGAAGCUGACUCCAGGCUCACCAGACGCUGCCAGAGUGGUGAUUUAGGAAUUCAGAGCGCUCCUGCCAAAUGGCUCUGCUUCCAUCUCUUGCUGAGGACAGCGGCCAGGCCCAUGGGGAGCUUUCCCGUGGCUCCAGGGACAGUUGGUGUUAAUAGGAGUAAAUAAUGCAAAGCUGCACAAUGCCACUGGAAAACCUUCUCAUCCAGUUCUGGAUAAAGAUGAGGAGAACCCUUCUGAAGCAAAGUCAUCAGUCGCUGGUGAGGGACUGCUCCGAUCAGCGUUCCAACGGGAGGAAAUUUGAAACACAGAUUGUCUGCUUGCUAUUUUUAUUU